rnacentral:rRNA from 1 species
UGGGGAAUAUUGCACAAUGGAGGGAACUCUGAUGCAGCGACGCCGCGUGAACGAAGAAGGCUUUCGAGUCGUAAAGUUCUUUUAUAUGGGAAGAUAAUGACGGUACCAUAAGAAAAAGCCCCGGCUAACUAUGUGCCAGCAGCCGCGGUAAUACGUAGGGGGCUAGCGUUGUCCGGAAUCACUGGGCGUAAAGGGUUCGCAGGCGGAAAUGCAAGUCAGGUGUAAAAGGCAGUAGCUUAACUACUGUAAGCAUUUGAAACUGCAUAUCUUGAGAAGAGUAGAGGUAAGUGGAAUUUUUAGUGUAGCGGUGAAAUGCGUAGAUAUUAAAAAGAAUACCGGUGGCGAAGGCGACUUACUGGGCUCAUUCUGACACUGAGGAACGAAAGCGUGGGUAGCAAACAGG